rnacentral:lncRNA from 1 species
AUACAAUUUCGUUUAAUCAUUUUAAGGUUGACACUGAAUGUCCACCAAUUUGCAUACUUCUUGCAUAAACUACAGGUUGCAGUAAGAUAGAUACGGUUGAAUCUGGAAUCCAUUUGCAUUUAAGUCCAGGAGCACAUCCACAAUGCCUAUUCAUUUUAGCUAUGCCGCUACAAUAUUCACCUUCAGGUUGAUACUUUUCACACCAUCCACCU